AACAAACGCUGGCGGCGUGCCUAAUACAUGCAAGUCGAACGGGGUAGCAAUACCUAGUGGCGCACGGGUGAGGAACGCGUGGAUAAUCUGCCUUAGAGUGGGGUAUAACUAGUCGAAAGAUUAGCUAAUACCGCAUAAGACCACAGGAGCUGCGGCUCUAGGGGUCAAAGGUUUUUCGCUCUAAGAUGAGUCCGCGUAAGAUUAGCUAGUUGGUGAGGUAACGGAUCACCAAGGCGACGAUCUUUAACUGGUCUGAGAGGAUGAUCAGUCACACUGGAACUUAGACACGGUCCAGACUCCUACGGGAGGCAGCAGUAGGGAAUAUUGCACAAUGGAGUAAACUCUGAUGCAGCGACGCCGCGUGAGUGAUGAAGGCCUUCGGGUCGUAAAGCUCUGUCGCAGGGGAAUAACACAAUGAAUGUACCCUGUAAGAAAGGAUCGGUUAACUUCGUGCCAGCCGCCGCAGUAACAC
rnacentral:rRNA from 1 species